rnacentral:rRNA from 1 species
AUCGAACGCUGGCGGCAGGCUUAACACAUGCAAGUCGAGCGGAGAGAGGUAGCUUGCCACUGAUCUUAGCGGCGGACGGGUGAGUAAUGCCUAGGAAUCUGCCUAUUAGUGGGGGUCAACAUUUCGAAAGUAAUGCUAAUACCGCAUACGUCCUACGGGAGAAAGCAGGGGAUCUUCGGACCUUGCGCUAAUAGAUGAGCCUAAGUCGGAUUAGCUAGUUGGUGGGGUAAAGGCCUACCAAGGCGACGAUCUGUAGCGGGUCUGGGAGGAUGAUCCGCCACACUGGGACUGAGGCACGGCCCAGACUCCGACGGGAGGCAGCAGGGGGGAAUAUUGGACAAUGGGCGGAAGCCUGAUCCAGCCAUGCCGCGUGUGUGAAGAAGGCCUUAUGGUUGUAAAGCACUUUAAGCGACGAGGAGGCUACCUAGAUUAAUACUACUGGAUAGUGGACGUUACUCGCAGAAUAAGCACCGGCUAACUCUGUGCCAGCCGCCGCCGUAACAC